rnacentral:lncRNA from 1 species
UUCUGCCUCCUCAUCCCCAUCCUCAUCUGCAUCGUCAUCCUGAUCAUGAAGUGGAGCCAGCUGAUGCGGCGCUGUGCUAGGAGAGAGAUGGAAGCUGCUGACUCCGACGAGGAAGAAACCAGCAGCAUCGAGAGCAACGAGAGCAGCGGGAGCAGCCGGAGCAGCGGUGCGAGGAUGGAGCCGGAGCCGGAGCGUGGCUCGGGGCAGUGCGCGGGGGAACCACGCGAGCAAUAAAGACGUUGAAGCAACCGGCGGUCGUUGGGGCGAUGCGGGCGGCUCUGGGGCUGGCGGUUCUGCUGGCGGUGCUGCUGGGAGGAGCGGCCCAGAAGCGGCCCCGCGUCCGAACCUUCAGCAUCCCCAUCGCUGGCCGUUCCCGCACCGUGCGGCUGCGGCAGCAGUAAGCGGGGGUGGCGGCAGCGAACGGGGGCGGCCCCGGCGGGGAGCAGAGCGGAGCGGCACCGCGGAGGGUCCGUCUGUUCUGUGCGCAGAGUGUUUCUGCCCGAGGAGGUCCGGAUUUACACCGACGGCCGAGGCGGAGGCGCGCAGUCCGAACUCGCGCAUCUGGAGGUAACGGUGGGGCCGUGCGCUGCGCCCGACGGCUUUGGGUAGGGCUGGAGGGGACACCCGGACCAGCAGCGGUGCAGUUUCCCUUCUGCACGGACGCUCUUUGGGCUUCUUGCUUUCUUUGGGAUGCUGUUCCACCCCGCAACCUCGGUUAGCGGUGCGCUGAGGCCGGGAGGGGCGGACAACAAAUGCCGUCGGUUCGGUGCUCGUUCCUCGGAACCUGCGGGGAUGGGACGGGACCACACGCGGUAGUGCUCAGCUCUGGUGCCCGGCGCUGUCUGUUUUCCCUGCUGCUCCUCACACAGCAGGCACCGCGCUGAUGGUGCGUCUUCACUGCUUCCAGCGCGACUGCUUCUAUGAGGGCUACGUGGAGGGUUUCCCAGGGUCACUCGUGGCACUCAGCACCUGCUCCGGGCUCAGGUAAGCUGCCCGCCCUGCUGUGAAAGCAGGAGCACAAACACGGGGACCGGCAGUGCUGCAGCAGAGCCAUUCCUGCCCUGCACCUUCACCAUGCAGAGGGAUCCUGCAGCUCGCCAACACCAGCUAUGGGAUCAAGCCUCUGGAGGCUGCAUCUGGGUACCAGCACCUCGUUUAUCAGAUGGAGGAGGAGAACGUGGGCA